GAUGAACGCUGGCGGCGUGCCUAAUACAUGCAAGUCGAGCGAACGGACGAGAAGCUUGCUUCUCUGAUGUUAGCGGCGGACGGGUGAGUAACACGUGGAUAACCUACCUAUAAGACUGGGAUAACUUCGGGAAACCGGAGCUAAUACCGGAUGAUAUUUUGAACCGCAUGGUUCAAAAGUGAAAGACGGUCUUGCUGUCACUUAUAGAUGGAUCCGCGCUGCAUUAGCUAGUUGGUAGGGUAACGGCUUACCAAGGCAACGAUGCAUAGCCGACCUGAGAGGGUGAUCGGCCACACUGGAACUGAGACACGGUUCAGACUCCUACGGGAGGCAGCAGUAGGGAAUCUUCCGCAAUGGGCGAAAGCCUGACGGAGCAACGCCGCGUGAGUGAUGAAGGUCUUCGGAUCGUAAAACUCUGUUAUUAGGGAAGAACAUAUGUGUAAGUAACUGUGCACAUCUUGACGGUACCUAAUCAGAAAGCCACGGCUAACUACGUG
rnacentral:rRNA from 1 species